GUAUUGGCCUACCGUGGCAAUGACGGGUAACGGGGAAUUAGGGUUCGAUUCCGGAGAGGGAGCCUGAGAAACGGCUACCACAUCUAAGGAAGGCAGCAGGCGCGCAAAUUACCCAAUCCUAAUACAGGGAGGUAGUGACAAGAAAUAACAAUACAGGACUUUUUGGUUUUGUAAUUGGAAUGAGUUAAGUAUAAACCCCUUUACAAGUAUCAAUUGGAGGGCAAGUCUGGUGCCAGCAGCCGCGGUAAUUCCAGCUCCAAUAGCGUAUAUUAAAGUUGUUGCAGUUAAAAAGCUCGUAGUUGGAUUUCUGUUAAUAAUUUAUAUAAAAUACUUAGGUGUUUAUAUAAUAUUAACAUAAUUCAUAUUACUAUAUUUUUUUAGUAUAUGAAAUUUUACUUUGAGAAAAUUAGAGUGCUUAAAGCAGGCGUUAGCCUUGAAUACUCCAGCAUGGAAUAAUAUUAAAGAUUUUUAUCUUUCCUAUUGGUUCUAAGAUAAGAAUAAUGAUUAAUAGGGACAGUUGGGGGCAUUUGUAUUUAA
rnacentral:rRNA from 1 species